UACGUAGGGUGCAAGCGUUAAUCGGAAUUACUGGGCGUAAAGCGUGCGCAGGCGGUUAUAUAAGUCAUCUGUGAAAUCUAUGGGCUCAACCCAUAGUCUGCAGGCGAAACUGUCGGGCUUGAGUAUGGGAGAGGUGAGUGGAAUUUCCGGUGUAGCGGUGAAAUGCGUAGAUAUCGGAAGGAACACCUGUGGCGAAAGCGGCUCACUGGACCAUUACUGACGCUGAUGCACGAAAGCUAGGGGAGCAAACAGG
rnacentral:rRNA from 1 species